UACAGAGGUCUCGAGCGUUAGGCGGAAUCACUGGGCUUAAAGCGUGUGUAGGCGGGCGGGCAAGUACCUUGUGAAAUCCCACGGCUCAACCGUGGAACGGCUGGGUAUACUGCCUGUCUUGAGCCAACUAGGGGCGAGCGGAACAGACGGUGGAGCGGUGAAAUGCGUAGAUAUCGUCUGGAACGCCAAAGGUGAAAACAGCUCGCUGGGGUUGUGCUGACGCUGAGACACGAAAGCCAGGGGAGCGAACGGG
rnacentral:rRNA from 1 species